rnacentral:rRNA from 1 species
AGAGUUGAUUAUGGCUCAGGAUGAACGCUGGCGGCGUGCCUAACACAUGCAAGUCGAGCGGAAAUACCAAAUGUACUCGUACAGGCGGUAUUUAGCGGCGGACGGGUGAGUAACACGUGAGCAACCUGCCUUUUGCUGGGGAAUAACAUUGGGAAACCAGUGCUAAUACCGCAUGACGUCAUAGGGGGACAUCCCCUGGUGACCAAAGGAGAAAUCCGGCAGAAGAUGGGCUCGCGUCCGAUUAGUUAGUUGGCGGGGUAACGGCCCACCAAGACCGCGAUCGGUAGCCGAACUGAGAGGUUGAUCGGCCACAUUGGGACUGAGACACGGCCCAGACUCCUACGGGAGGCAGCAGUGGGGAAUAUUGGGCAAUGGGGGAAACCCUGAACCCCCAGCAACGCCGCGUGAAGGACGAAGGCCUUCGGGUUGUAAACUUCUUUGAUCAGGGACGAGAGCAAUGACGGUACCUGAAGAACAAGCCACGGCUAACUACGUGCCAGCAGCUGC